UACGGAGGGAGCUAGCGUUGUUCGGAAUUACUGGGCGUAAAAGCGCGCGUAGGCGGCUUUGUAAGUUAGAGGUGAAAAGCCCGGGGCUCAACCCCGGAAUUGCCUUUAAGACUGCAUCGCUUGAAUCCGGGAGAGGUGAGUGGAAUUCCGAGUGUGAGGAAGGUGAAAAUUCGUAGAUAUUCGGAAGAACACCAGUGGCGAAGGCGGCUCACUGGACCGGCAUUGACGCUGAGGUGCGAAAGCGUGGGGAGCAAACAGG
rnacentral:rRNA from 1 species